rnacentral:rRNA from 1 species
GACGAACGCUGGCGGCGUGCUUAACACAUGAAAGUCGAACGGAAAGGCCCUGCUUUUGUGGGGUGCUCGAGUGGCGAACGGGUGAGUAACACGUGAGUAACCUGCCCUUGACUUUGGGAUAACUACAGGAAACUGGGGCUAAUACCGGAUAGGAGCUCCUGCUGCAUGGUGGGGGUUGGAAAGUUUCGGCGGUUGGGGAUGGACUCGCGGCUUAUCAGCUUGUUGGUGGGGUAGUGGCUUACCAAGGCUUUGACGGGUAGCCGGCCUGAGAGGGUGACCGGCAACAUUGGGACUGAGAUACGGCCCAGACUCCUACGGGAGGCAGCAGUGGGGAAUAUUGCACGAUGGGCGGAAGCCUGAUGCAGCAACGCCGCGUGCGGGAUGACGGCCUUCGGGUUGUAAACCGCUUUCGCCUGUGACGAAGCGUGAGUGACGGUAAUGGGUAAAGAAGCACCGGCUAACUACGUG